CCUACGGGAGGCAGCAGUGAGGAAUAUUGGUCAAUGGACGAGAGUCUGAACCAGCCAAGUAGCGUGAAGGAUGACUGCCCUACGGGUUGUAAACUUCUUUUAUAUGGGAAUAAAAUGUUCCACGUGUGGGAUUGUGUAUGUACCAUAUGAAUAAGGAUCGGCUAACUCCGUGCCAGCAGCCGCGGUAAUCCGGAGGAUCCGAGCGUUAUCCGGAUUUAUUGGGUUUAAAGGGAGCGUAGAUGGGUUGUUAAGUCAGUUGUGAACGUUUGCGGCUCAACCGUAAAAUUGCAAUUGAUACUGGCAGUCUUGAGUGCAGUUGAGGUAGGCGGAAUUCGUGGUGUAGCGGUGAAAUGCUUAGAUAUCACGAAGAACUCCGAUUGCGAAGGCAGCUUACUAAACUGCCACUGACAUUGAUGCUCGAAAGUGUGGGUAUCAAACAGGAUUAGAUACCCGGGUAGUC
rnacentral:rRNA from 1 species